rnacentral:lncRNA from 1 species
CUCACCUUCACUCCCAACUCUAAAUCAGAAAUCCACUGUCACCAACAACCAUCCUAACCUCAUGGAAUGGACUUCAACAGACCCAAGUUGUGGUCAGUAAUUCGACUCGAAUAAUGGGAAAAUUGCAAUUUUUCAAUUCCCAUUUUGACACAACAAUGGCAAAAGAUGAGGUAAUUUCACCGAUUCUAUACUAAUUUCUUCUAUUUAAUCUAAAAAAUUUUGCCCUUUUUUCGCCGUGAGUUCAUGGUGGCUACAACUAGUCAAAGCUACUGCCAUUUUGUUCAAGGUUUUCAACUGCCAUUUUGAUGAUGUUGAUGGGGGGAUUCGAGACGUGUUGAUGGAGAAUUUGAUGAUGUUGAUGGGUAGCUAAAGGAACGAAAAUGGUGGCAAUUUUGGGUGAUGGAUGAAAGUCAAGGGAAUGGUGGUAGUUUUGGACGAUGGAGAAGGCAGUGGAAUGGUGGUGGCCUUCGUUGAUGGUUGAAAGCAAGGGAUGAGGGGAAAACAGAAAGAAGAUUCCUGAUUUUAGGUUAGGGUUGGCGUCGGG